rnacentral:rRNA from 1 species
AUUGAACGCUGGCGGCAGGCCUAACACAUGCAAGUCGAACGAGUGGCGGACGGGUGAGUAAUGUCUGGGAAACUGCCCGAUGGAGGGGGAUAACUACUGGAAACGGUAGCUAAUACCGCAUACCAUCGGAUGUGCCCAGAUGGGAUUGGCUAGUGGGGGGGGUAACGGCUCACCUAGGCGACGAUCCCUAGCCGGUCUGAGAGGCUGACCGGCAACACGGGGACGGAGACACGGUCCAGACUCCUACGGGAGGCAGCAGUGGGGAAUAUUGCACAAUGGGCGCAAGCCUGAUGCAGCAAUGCCGGGUGUAUGAAGAAGGCCUUCGGGUGGUAAAGUACUUUCAGCGAGGAGGCGUUACUCGAAGAAGAAGCACCGGCUAACUCCGUGCCAGCAGCCGCGGUAAUUC